AUUUAUUAUGUAAAAUAAUAGUGAAAAGUUGUGAAAAUGUAUAAAAUUGUGAAUUGUGCUUAUAAGUGAGUGUGAGUUUAUAAAUGAGAGUGUGAAAAGUGCUGCGUUCCUCAAUUUCGGCGAUUUUUUGGCAUUCCUGCACUGCCGCCAUUGCAAGCCUCCAAAAUGCAAUAAAAUCUCAUAAUGCUUGCAUAAGCGAUUUUCAACUAUCGAUGAAUAACAAUUAUUCAGCAUAUCAGUAGCAUAUAUGUAGAUCGCUUAACAACAACAAACAAAUGCUGAAUAGAGAAGGUGAAUUGCUGGAUUUUUUGCUAGACACAUAAAUGCUGAGGAAUCAAGAAAAUAUGCGUGUAUUUGUUGGUGUGUCUGUAAUCGAGUAUCCGCAUUCACAAUACCACAUUCUUGCCACUUAAGCGCGAUCAGCUAGCUGGCAGCAGUACCCUCCGUUGUUAUAUGCAGUGAAAUUUCUUGGAAAAAAUUUUAAAUGAAUCUCCAGAAAAAAUCAGCCACAAUUGGAAUGAAAAAUAGCUCUUCCUAUUGCACAUUUCUAUCCAGUUUCCGGCGCCAAUGAAUGCAUUUACAUGGACAACAAACUAAUAAGAAUACAAACAUGUUUCAUUUUAGCUUAUCUGUAAUAGCUAUUAUAUUAUAUUAAGUUUUUCUCAAAUAAA